GACAGAGGGUGCGAACGUUGUUCGGAAUUACUGGGCGUAAAGCGCGUGUAGGCGGCAGCGCAAGUCGGGCGUGAAAUCCCACGGCUCAACCGUGGAAGUGCACUCGAAACUGCGCAGCUAGAGUCCUGGAGAGGAAGGUGGAAUGCUUGGUGUAGAGGUGAAAUUCGUAGAUAUCAAGCGGAACACCGGUGGCGAAGGCGGCCAUCUGGACGGAUACUGACGCUGAGACGCGAAAGCGUGGGUAGCAAACAGG
rnacentral:rRNA from 1 species